CAGACAGUGACACAGACGCAGACAGAGGGACACAAACGUCUUUAUCGUAAUUUCUCACCUCCUUUCCUGUCAUUUGAACAAUCUCCUCACUCAGUCAGUCCUCACACUUGUCUAUACAAAAAACUCCAUCACUGCUAAACUCUCCCACUCUUCACUUCUCACUUGCUUUACUUUCCUCCUCUAAACAUCUCCCUCCAAAAUGGGGACCAGAAUCCCUUCUCACCAGCUCAAAAAUGGUCUCUUAGUUUCAGGUCCACCCGAGCACCUCAAGGAGAAGCAACCCACAAUGGCAUCACGCGCCGUUCCAUACACUGGUGGUGACGUCAAGAAGUCUGGCGAGCUUGGCAAAAUGUUUGAUAUCCCUGUCCUCGAUCAACACUCGCCUUCUGGCCCUCCUCCCUCUAUACCCAAGCAACCCUCCCGCCCUUCCUCCUCUUCUCAACACAAUAGCGGAUCCGUCCGAUCCGGGCCCAACUCCGGCUCAGUUAAGAAAUCUUCCGGUCCCCUUCCCCUUCAGCCCACCGGUCUCAUCACCUCCGGACCCCUCGGCUCCGGUCCAUUGGGCUCUGGCCCACUCCCUUUGGCCCACCGGAGAUCCGGCCAGCUCGACCAUACUGGCUCCGGGGUUGGAUCCGGCUCUAGCAAGGCUCUCUACGGGUCAGCGGUCACCAGCUUGACGGAGGAUGUCAAGGUAGGUUUUAGGGUUUCGAGGCCCGUGGUGUGGGUGGUAUUAGUGGUUGUGGCGAUGGGAUUGCUUGUGGGUGCAUUCCUGAUGGUGGCAGUUAAAAAAGCGGUUAUUUUGGUGGCAGUGGGGGCGAUAUUAGUGCCCGUAAUUGUGGGACUUGUCUGGAAUUGUGUAUGGGGCAGGAGAGGGUUGUUAGGGUUUGUUAAGAGGUACCCUGAUGCUGAGCUAAGAGGUGCUAUUGAUGGGCAAUACGUCAAGGUCACGGGGGUAAUUUUCUCCUCUCUUUCUGAUUAUAUUACGCUACUUUAUUGCUCUAUUAUUUUUAGGUCAAUUCCUUGAUCUAUUUCCACAAGAUACUACAAAAUUUGUUAUAGAUACGAAAUCGGUGGGUCAUUAUUCAUGUUUAUAUAAUUUCAUAUUAGGAAGGGAAACAGAGAAAAGCAGAGAUUUAUCGAAUUUAGCUUGACACAUUUGGUUAAUUUGUUAAUGAUUUCAUGGUGUGAUAAUUUUCCAUUAAAAAUUGGAUUUUUCUUGCGACCUUUUUGUAUAAAUGAUAUAUUUAUCAAAGGGCCUUUUCCCUCCUCUCUCCUGAUUUGAGUCCAAUUGAAAUUUAUCCCAGUUUGCCGAGUGCAGGGAAGUUUGUUGAAAGUUUUAGUCCACAUGAAGGGUGGAAUUGAGCCCGCAAAUCUGUGAUGCACAAUGUCUUGUUUGCAUGUACUGGCUAGAUUUUAGGGACCAGUUUUGCUUCUUGUGGGGUUAAAGUUAGAAUUCUAUGAGAUUACUUGAAAUCUAAUUGGAGAAUAAUUGCAAUGUGGUUUUCCUUCCAUAGAAGAGCAGUCUAGCCUUUUCUUUGACUUCAAACCUCUUUUCCUUGUCAUUUGGUGCAUCACUUUGGCUUUAUCAAAAACUUCAUUGUCUUUAGUUUGAAAAGAUUGGGCAAAAUGCCCACUGAUGUUAGCUGGUCAAACAUCCUAGUUUGCAAUUUAUACUUAUAUUCUGUAUAAGUAGUGUAUUCUUGGAUAUCUUUUAUGUAGGUUGUCACUUGUGGCAGUAUACCUUUGGAAUCAUCUUACCAGAGGGUACCCAGGUGUGUAUACAUUUCCACGGAGUUGUAUGAAUAUAGGGGGUGGGGUGGAAAAUCUGCUCAUCCCAAGCACCGUUUCUUCUCAUGGGGAUCUAGAUAUUCAGAGGUCAGUUUGUUGCUUUUCAUUCCCAGUACAUUGAUUUUGAAAUCAAGAGUGUUUUUUUUUCCUCUGCAAAUUUAUGAAUCAGUUUCUCACUGCAUUUGCUAGAGUACUGACUACUUUGGUUUUCAUUAUUUAAACCUGAUAAAUUCAGUUUAUUCAAAACAAACAUUAACCAUGGGACCUGAUUUUUAAAAUGUACCAUUGUACAGAAAGGCAUCUAGCUGAAUGAGAACAUGAAAAGUUACUGGCAAUGUUGUAGGCAUGUUAAAUAAGGGAGCUAGUGCGUACAAAUUAAAUUCCAUCUUACCUUUUCUCAGUAGCUUAAAGGCUCCAACAGUUACUUGAUUAUGAGCUAAUAGGCAAUGGUAGUGCUGCACUUGAUUUGACAAUUACUUGUGUAGCAGCAGAUGGCUAUUUUUGGAGUAAGGAAAUACAAUUCUUCUUGGCCUGCAAUUCAUAGAAUAUAGUUGCACAAAACAAGUCCCAAUAACUGGGUAUGAUGCUUCUGUUGUCUAAAACCUAAAUAUUUAAUUGCGUUUCAUUUGUGAUGACAAUGUUUCAGUUAUUGGCUUUGUCUGGGUUCUUACUCUUUUCUGGAGAAAGCAGGUCCUGGACUCCUCUUGUGCAUUAUAAUGAUACGUUGAUUCUGGUGAACAGAAAUAUGUUGCGGAUUUUUACAUAUCAGAUUUUCAGUCAGGAUUGAGAGCAUUAGUGAAGGCAGGCUAUGGGGCUAAGGUUGCUCCGUUUGUCAAACCAGUUACAGUAGUUGAUGUAAAGAAGGAGAAUAGAGAUUUCUCUCCCAGCUUUUUACGCUGGUUAGCUGAUCACAGCCUCUCCAGUGAUGACCGGAUUAUGCGCCUAAAAGAAGGGUAUAUAAAAGAAGGGAGCACUGUAAGUGUGAUGGGUGUUGUUCAACGCCAUGAUAAUGUGUUGAUGAUAGUUCCACCUCAAGAGCCUGUCUCAACAGGCUGUCAAUGGUUCCAAUGCCUACUUCCAACCUAUGUUGAAGGUCUUGUUUUGAUGUGUGAUGAUAACCAAGAUGCCGAUGUAGUUCCUGUGUAGAUAUCUGGUGUUUCACCACUAUUUGGGUUGUGUCUUGAACUGGAUUUCACGAGUAAAUAGUGGAAGGAUGGUGAGCAGUGGAAUCUCGAGGCUCCCUGAACCACAUUCUCUUUGUUUCCAGGUACAUAAAGUGCAUAUAAAAUGGUCUUGAAAGUGCCAGAGCCAGUAGACUGAAAGAUGAUAUGUGAUUGAAGAGUAAUCUAGUGUAAAAGCAUUAAAUAUGCGUUGAAGAUUGUGACAAGUUCAAUGGGGAGAAGAGAUGUGCGAAGAAGCUGGAAUAUGUUGCAUCACAAUGGCACUUGGCACUUUGAUUUUUGUACAUAAGUUAUAGCAGGGUUGCCGGCAGGGGUUUCGUAACAGCGGCUUCAAAUGAACUUGUAUGGUAUGUAAAAUUGUGUAUUUAGGGGCCAAUUAAAAAUGACUGAUGAAUUCGAUGUCAUUCUAAAUUCUAAUACACUUUUACUGUGCUUGUAUUAGUAAGGAUUAAUCCAUUGAACACUUGAAUUAAAACUAUAACUUAUUGAACACCUGAAUUUAUAAAAAUCAUAAUAAUUAAAUCAUUUUAUGAAAGCGGAAUUAGACUUAAUGACAUAGUUAAUGAAAUUGCCACUAGUGAAUUUAUUAAUAUAGACUUGAAGCUGAUCCAUUGAAGAUUCAAAACAUUAGUCCUUUCCUCGGAGGGAACUAAAGUCUAGAAGGCAUCCCACCAGCCACGACCAAAGUUUCUCCUGUUAUAUAAGAAGCAUCAUCGGAUGCCAAAAAAGCAGUUGCGGAAGCCAUGUCUUCUGUGGUACCAAGCCUGUUAAGUAACGUAUUUUGCUCAAUGGCCUUCCUCAUGGCGUCAUUUUUUGUGAUGAAAUCCGCAAAAUGUGUUGGUACAAACCCAGGAGCAAUACAAUUUACACGAGUAUCAGGUGCCAUUUCACCUGCAAGGGCCUUAGUAAGCCCAAGAAGAGCUGUCUUUGUCACCCCAUACAUGGCCAUGGAAGCAUGGGGAUUGUAACCACCGAUUGAGGAAAUCAAAAUGACUGAAGAACCCUUCUGCAUAUGAGGAGCAGCAUCCUGCCCUCCAAAACAAAAAAGUUAAGUAUCUUAAAAUGUGAAAAAUGUCAGAGCAUGCAAACUGGACAAGUAUCUCUUGGACUUGGGGAGUGAUUUAAUAAAAGAUUAUCAAGAAAUAAAACUGAGAAAAAUCAAGGAAAAUCGGCUGGAUAUCCUCUAGAUAACCACUUGGACCUUCAAAAGAAGGAUAGAGGAUUUGACAUUAAUUUCCCAAAGCUUGUCAAGGACAGAUUCUUGAGUCUCCAAAAUAGAAUCAACAGAUGGAUUUGCAGCAGCAUUGGAUACAACCACAUCUAUUUUUCCAUAUUUCUCCACUGUCUUCUCAAUGAGAUUCUUUCUUUGUUCUGCAUUUGAGACAUGACAAACAACACCUAACACUUGGAUACCCUGAGCUUUAAGUUUCUCAACAGCCUCAUCUACAUUUUUCUGCUUGCGAGAAGAGAUGACGACGGCGGCGCCUUCCCAGCCGAGGCGCUGGGCGAUUGCAAAGCCUAUGCCCUGAGUGGAAGCUGUGACAAUCGCCACCUUCCCUUCAAAUCUCUUGCCAAAAUUUUUCUUCGUAUCCAUUUGGGUUCUUACUAUCACUGCUCACGACUCGCAAUGUAAAGCAACAAGCUGAACCUGAAUCGAAGAGAAUUGAUGACGCUGUAGGCUAAUUGAUUGACACCGUUGGAUCGGUCCUCAAUAUAGGGAUAAACGCUGAACGCGUUUUCUGAGACGAAACAGAUGGGAAAUAUCGUAUGGCGGGCCAACAACAGUUGAAGAAUGAGAUCCAAUACCAGACUCUUGCCGCUUUACAUUGUCUUUUUCUGCGAUCAGAUCAAAACCGGCAAUUGUUUUUGUCUUCCCAAACGUUGAUGGCAACGGCAAUUGUUCAGUCUCAUUUCCAAUGAUACAUUCACAGCUUUAAUUAUAUAUUUUAUAACAAAAUUAGGGAAUUGAUGGCAAUAAUAAUUUCA
rnacentral:misc_RNA from 1 species